rnacentral:rRNA from 1 species
AUUGAACGCUGGCGGCAGGCCUAACACAUGCAAGUCGAACGAGUGGCGGACGGGUGAGUAAUGUCUGGGAAACUGCCUGAUGGAGGGGGAUAACUACUGGAAACGGUAGCUAAUACCGCAUACUGUGAGAUGGACCUGCGUUGGAUUAGCUAGUUGGUGAGGUAAAGGCUCACCAAGGCGACGAUACAUAGCCGACCUGCGAGGGUGAUCGGCCACACUGGGACUGAGACACGGCCCAGACUCCUACGGGAGGCAGCAGUGGGGAAUAUUGCACAAUGGGCGCAAGCCUGAUGCAGCCAUGCCGCGUGUAUGAAGAAGGCCUUCGGGUUGUAAAGUACUUUCAGCGGGGAGGCGUUACCCGCAGAAGAAGCACCGGCUAACUCCGUGCCAGCAGCCGCGGUAAUUC